rnacentral:misc_RNA from 1 species
UUAAGUUCAGCGGGUAUCCCUACCUGAUCCGAGGUCAAGCGUAAAAAUGUAGACUUGUGGAUGCCACCAUCAGCAGUGGAGAACGCAAAAUGUGCUGCGCUCCCACACGGGACGGCGGGCUGCCAAUGCAUUUGAGGCGAGUUCGCGCGCACAGCGGAACAAACGCCCAACACCCAGCAGGGCUGGAGGGUACAAAUGAC